rnacentral:rRNA from 1 species
GACGAACGCUGGCGGCGUGCUUAACACAUGCAAGUCGAACGGAAAGGCCCUGCUUUUGUGGGGUGCUCGAGUGGCGAACGGGUGAGUAACACGUGAGUAACCUGCCCUUGACUUUGGGAUAACUUCAGGAAACUGGGGCUAAUACCGGAUAGGAGCUCCUGCUGCAUGGUGGGGGUUGGAAAGUUUCGGCGGUUGGGGAUGGACUCGCGGCUUAUCAGCUUGUUGGUGGGGUAGUGGCUUACCAAGGCUUUGACGGGUAGCCGGCCUGAGAGGGUGACCGGCCACAUUGGGACUGAGGAACGGCCCAGACUGCUACGGGAGGCAGCAGUGGGGAAUAUUGCACAAUGGGCGGAAGCCGGAUGCAGCAACGCCGCGUGCGGGAUGACGGCCUUCGGGUUGUAAACCGCUUUCGCCUGUGACGAAGCGUGAGUGACGGUAAUGGGUAAAGAAGCACCGGCUAACUACGU